GGCGGAGGGGGCGUUGGCGUUAACGCCCUGGAGGUUCUCGUCUCUCUGCGGCUGUAUCUGAGCAGAACCGGGUCCUCGGCGGAAACAACCGUGCUGGAGGUGGCAGGACAGGUUUGCGGAGCCCCGGGGGCCUUCGGCUGCUGGUCCCUCCUCACUUGGCCCCCGCAGCCCUGCUGCUGCACAUCAACCAUGCAAGGUAUGUUUAACCCCGAGGGACGUUCUCACGCUGCGGGCCCGAUGUGGAAACCAAAACCCUCAAGUUUGAAGUGAAUGCAUCUGCAUGUGA
ensembl:lncRNA